rnacentral:rRNA from 1 species
ACUCCUACGGGAGGCAGCAGUGGGGAAUAUUGCACAAUGGGGGAAACCCUGAUGCAGCCAUGCCGCGUGUGUGAAGAAGGCCUUCGGGUUGUAAAGCACUUUCUAGUAGGGAGGAAGGUAGUGUAGUUAACACCUGCACUAUUUGACGUUACCUACAGAAGAAGCACCGGCUAACUCCGUGCCAGCAGCCGCGGUAAUACGGAGGGUGCGAGCGUUAAUCGGAAUUACUGGGCGUAAAGCGCAUGCAGGCGGCCUGUUAAGUCAGAUGUGAAAGCCCGGGGCUUAACCUCGGAAUUGCAUUUGAAACUGGCAGACUAGAGUACUGUAGAGGGGGGUAGAAUUUCAGGUGUAGCGGUGAAAUGCGUAGAGAUCUGAAGGAAUACCGGUGGCGAAGGCGGCCCCCUGGACAGAUACUGACACUCAGAUGCGAAAGCGUGGGGAGCAAACAGGAUUAGAUACCCUGGUAGGAUAGCG